rnacentral:rRNA from 1 species
UACGUAGGGUGCAAGCGUUUAAUCGGAAUUACUGGGCGUAAAGCGUGCGCAGGCGGUUGUGCAAGACAGAUGUGAAAUCCCCGGGCUUAACCUGGGAACUGCAUUUGUGACUGCACGGCUAGAGUGUGUCAGAGGGGGGGUAGAAUUCCACGUGUAGCAGUGAAAUGCGUAGAUAUGUGGAGGAAUACCGAUGGCGAAGGCAGCCCCCUGGGAUAACACUGACGCUCAUGCACGAAAGCGUGGGGAGCAAACAGG